rnacentral:rRNA from 1 species
GACGAACGCUGGCGGCGUGCUUAACACAUGUAAGUCGAACGAAGAGCGAUGGAAGCUUGCUUCUAUCAAUCUUAGUGGCGAGCAGGUGAGUAACGCGUAAUCAACCUGCCCUUCAGAGGGGGACAACAGUUGGAAACGACUGCUAAUACCGCAUACGAUCUAAACUCGGCAUCGAGGAUAGAUGAAAGGUGGCCUCUACAUGUAAGCUAUCACUGAAGGAGGGGAUUGCGUCUGAUUAGCUAGUUGGAGGGGUAACGGCCCACCAAGGCGAUGAUCAGUAGCCGGUCUGAGAGGAUGAACGGCCACAUUGGGACUGAGACACGGCCCAGACUCCUACGGGAGGCAGCAGUGGGGAAUCUUCCGCAAUGGACGAAAGUCUGACGGAGCAACGCCGCGUGAGUGAUGACGGCCUUCGGGUUGUAAAGCUCUGUUAAUCGGGACGAAAGGCCUUCUUGCGAAUAGUGAGAAGGAUUGACGGUACCGGAAUAGAAAGCCACGGCUAACUACGUG